GUCGCCAUCUUACUGGGCAGCAUUGGAUGGUGUCUGGUCUCUAAUACUGCCUGGUAAUGAUGACGGC
rnacentral:pre_miRNA from 1 species